rnacentral:rRNA from 1 species
GACGUAGGAGGCGAGCGUUGUCCGGAUUCAUUGGGCGUAAAGAGCACGCAGGCGGUUUGGCAAGUCGGAUGUGAAAACCCCGAAGCUCAACUUCGGGCCUGCAUCCGAAACUGCCCGACUAGAGGUAGGUAGGGGAGAUCGGAAUUCCUGGUGUAGCGGUGAAAUGCGCAGAUAUCAGGAGGAACACCGGUGGCGAAGGCG